rnacentral:rRNA from 1 species
GAUGAACGCUGGCGGCGUGCCUAAUACAUGCAAGUCGAGCGAACAGACGAGGAGCUUGCUCCUCUGACGUUAGCGGCGGACGGGUGAGUAACACGUGGAUAACCUACCUAUAAGACUGGGAUAACUUCGGGAAACCGGAGCUAAUACCGGAUAAUAUAUUGAACCGCAUGGUUCAAUAGUGACAGACGGUUUUGCUGUCACUUAUAGAUGGAUCCGCGCCGCAUUAGCUAGUUGGUAAGGUCACGGCUUACCAAGGCAACGAUGCGUAGCAGACCUGAGAGGGUGAUCGGCCACACUGGAACUGAGACACGGUCCAGACUCCUACGGGAGGCAGCAGUAGGGAAUCUUCCGCAAUGGGCGAAAGCCUGACGGAGCAACGCCGCGUGAGUGAUGAAGGUCUUCGGAUCGUAAAACUCUGUUAUUAGGGAAGAACAAAUGUGUAAGUAACUAUGCACGUCUUGACGGUACCUAAUCAGAAAGCCACGGCUAACUACGUG